CCUCUCAUGGCGUAGUGGUUAACUCGCCCCAACUAGAGAUCGGGGAGUCGUGAGUUCGAUUCUCACUGAGAAGA
rnacentral:tRNA from 1 species